AAUCACACCACCUCUCCCAGGAAGUACGUGUGUGCGCGUACAUCUGUGUACAGUACGCAUGUGGGUAGACGGGGCCUUAAUUAGAGCUGCUUAAUAUGCAUGUGGGUGUGCUUUUUUAGGGGCGAAAGCAAAUUUGUGGGGAGCAUAUGGUGCCCGAGACAUGACAAACACCCACGUAAUACACAGACAGCAGCAAGCAAACACACAAACACACACACAUACACACAAACCACGUUCUAUCUUCAAAGUGAGAGAUGCACAUAGACACACACACACACUGGCACGCCGGGGCUCCUGCAGGAAGCAGAGCGAUGGAUUCCGGCUGAUUGUGUGUGAGUGUUGGAAUAUCAUUAAUGCUUUCGCUUCGUAUUUAGAAAGGUGUGCGUGCGUGUGUGUGUUUGUGUGUUAGCUGGAGAUUAUUUCAGGCAGAUGGAGGGAGCCGUGGCCCCUUCUGCAGGGUCAACGGGGAGAAGUUAACCAGCACAGAUUGUUGCCUCCCCCUCCUCUCCUCUCCUUACCCCCUUUUCUCUGCUCCAAAUCAGCCUAAACGCUUCAAUUUAUCGCUUUAUCUUUUACAUCUUGUGUAGCCGAGUCAAACGGAGGGAUGAGGGCAACAGCGAGUCGGGUUAUUCAAUGUUUUUUAUAGUCUGGCAUCACACAAAUACAAUUCCUAAAAAAUACCUUUUUGUUCUACUGUUGACGUGUGAAGGUCUGCGGUUUCAAAAUCCUUGAGCGCCUUUAAAUGCUAUUCCAGCUUGUUAAAAAGAAGACAAACAUCAAUUGAAUUCAAUUCUAAUCCUUUGCAUUCAACAAGUGGAAACAUACUUUUAGCUAUAGCAGUUUUAUCUGUAGAACUUAACAAUUCUCUUAUUUCACUAUAAUGAGAAUUAAGAAACUCAAACUCUUUUUCUGAAAAGAGCCUUUCUAGUGGAAGUGAGAUGAGGGUGCUGCAGACGUUCUCCUUUCGACGGUAUUAUGAGUAAUUGCACAGCUUACAGGAGAGUAGAGUGGCCAAAUGCCUGAGGCGAGAUGGUGAGAGCCCACACAAUAACGGUCUUAAGACAUCCACGGGCCUUAUCGCGCCGGCCCAUACGUCCCAGCGUGUGUGCUUACACCAACUCCACCUACACGUUCCAACCUGAGACGUCCAGAGACGGAGGGAGCCGCGCAGCGGAUUAGGAAUCGGUAUUCCCAAAUCCCAGACACGGGGCUCCUCCACCAAUCGCACGGCAGGCAGCGCUCGCCUCCCGGCGAGCCACGCCGGGGAUUCCUGGAACAAUGCUAGCCGAGGCGAAGCCCGAAGCGGAAGGAAUCCUGGAAGCCGCGUUUCUCUUUUCCUCACGCGUCCAAAGCCGGCGGAAAAAUAAAAUAAAACCGGAUUUUAUUCUCAGAAACCGGUGUUUUCAUUGGAGACCUCCCGCUGUCACCUCAACUCAACCUCCCUUUGCCCACCCACGUGGAAAAAUCAUCCGCCCACAAAGGUGAAUGUACAUGUAUAUAUUUAUAAAACAAUUAUCGCCAUGCCAACAAGAACAACAACUCCAACUCUUCAUCUUUUUCCAUGUUAGACCUUACUUUUGCUCCUGAUUUAUAUCGGUACUGCGGGAGCAUUAGAGACGUGAUGGGCAGGAUGGAUGAGCCACAGACACUGAUGCUAUUACAACAACAACAUACUUCCCCAGUCAGUCAAUACUUGCCAAUACAAGAAAAGAAAAAAAGAUAAAGAAUAGAAAUCUUGCCGGGGGUGAAGAGAAGGAAUAAGCCUAAGCCUGCGCGGCGUUUUAUGGAAAUGAUCGAUUGUGAGGCGCAGCAUUGAUGAGCUGAGGCGAGGCGGCGUUGUGAAUGAAGCAGGAUAUAGUGGUGACCCAGGGGGAAUCACAACACGCCGCAGCCUGAUCUCUUGCAAAGCCGCUUGGAACGCGAUGCCGUCCUCCCUGAUGAAUGUACUCUCUCCUCCUCGGCUCUCCCUCUCACUCGCUUUUCUGGGGCCUGAUGAAUGCAAAGCGAAUCAAUAAAUCUAUUCCCCUGCUGGAAACCUGAUAAAAUUUACAAGGACAAGCUUAAUAAAUUACUAAUGGGGUGGCCAAUUAGUUUGUGUGCUUGUCUGUGCAGGAGUGUGUGUAUGUGUGCGUGCCUGUGUUUGAGUUUAAAUUCCUGCCUGAUCAUUUGUAUGCAUGUGUGUGAGUCCUCGGCCCUUUGCUAACUCAACACAGCGGGGUUGGCAGUGAGCAGGCGCCACCUUCACCCAUGCUCUGUUUCUCCGAGUACUUCUUCACCGUAACCUUACAGCCGCUGUACAGCCACACUUUGCUUCGGGAUCUGUCAAUCGGUCGGCUCUAUUCCCCCAGUUCACUUAUGUUUUCUGAAUACAUUUUAAUUUACACAGAAUUCACAUCGUAAUUAAAGCUGCUCUGGACAUAAUUCAGAGCAUUUGUUUUUGUUCGCAUUUGUCAUUUGUUUCCCUUUACACGACCCUUAACAUGCAGGAUGCUAAGCCGUCGCUAGCAUCUAACAAUGCUAACAAAAUUGAAGUCUAGGAGAAAAGGACCCUACAUUUCACCUGGGUAAUUACCUGACUUUUGUUAAAAAUCUUAAAGACUUCAAGACGUAGUUCAUUUUUUUAGACUUCCUUUUCUAUGAUAAAAUAUUUUGACAUUUUUUUUUCAAAACAUUUUUUAACCUAAUAUUCC
ensembl:lncRNA